rnacentral:rRNA from 1 species
UACGUAGGGGGCAAGCGUUGUCCGGAGUUACUGGGCGUAAAGCGCGCGCAGGCGGCGGUGCUGGCCCGGCGUGAAAGCCCCCGGCUCAACCGGGGAGAGUCGUCGGGGACCGCACCGCUUGAGGGCGGUAGGGGCUGGUGGAAUGCCUGGUGUAGUGGUGAAAUGCGUAGAGAUCCGGAGGAACACCAGCGGCGAAGGCGGCAUCCUGGACUGGUCCUGACACUCAGGAGCGAAAGCGUGGGGAGCGAUCCGG